UCUGUGUCAUGUUGAAGGUGGCUGUGAGCCAAGAAUAUCCUACAGAUUUUGAUUUAAGGUCACCAGUCCUAAAAGAUCUCAUGCUUAUGGUCCAGCUACCUCUGUGUUCCCCACUAAAUGUCUAAGACACUGGUCAACAAAAACAUUGCCUUGAACAUGUUGUACUUCUGAAGUUAUUAAAAACUGCAGUUGAAGAGGUGCUCAGUGGGAAGACAGCAACUACAGAAAGGAAGAAUAACCUGCAACUGGCAGAUAUUCUGCUAUCAAGAUACUAAUAUUAAAAUAAUUAGCAAUGGAAAUAAUAAAUAGAUUUUUUUUUUUU